GACGGGGGAUGGAAGCGUUAUCCGGAAUCACUGGGCGUAAAGCGUCUGUAGGUGGUGAUGCAAGUCACUGGUGCAAAACUCUGGCUCAACCGGAGGAAAGCCAGUGAAACUGCAUGACUAGAGUGGGGGAGAGGUAGAAGGAAUUCCCUGAGUAGCGGUGAAAUGCGUAGAGAUUGGGAAGAGCACCGGUGGCGAAAGCGCUCUGCUGGACUGCAACUGACACUGAGGGACGAAAGCUAGGGGAGCGAAAGGG
rnacentral:rRNA from 1 species